UACGUAGGGUGCAAGCGUUGUCCGGAAUUAUUGGGAGUAAAGAGCUCGUAGGCGGUUUGUCGCGUCGUAUGUGAAAACCCGGGGCUCAACCCCGGGCCUGCAUUCGAUACGGGCAGACUAGAGUUCGGUAGGGGAGUCUGGAAUUCCUGGUGUAGCGGUGAAAUGCGCAGAUAUCAGGAGGAACACCGGUGGCGAAGGCGGGACUCUGGGCCGAUACUGACGCUGAGGAGCGAAAGCGUGGGGAGCGAACAGG
rnacentral:rRNA from 1 species